rnacentral:rRNA from 1 species
CCCUUAGAUGUUCUGGGCCGCACGCGCGCUACACUGACGAUGGCAACGAGUUUUUCCUUCGCCGAAAGGUGUGGGUAAUCUUUUGAAACAUCGUCGUGCUGGGGAUAGAUUAUUGCAAUUAUUAAUCUUGAACGAGGAAUUCCUAGUAAACGCAGUUCAUCAAACUGCAUUGAUUACGUCCCUGCCCUUUGUACACACCGCCCGUCGCACCUACCGAUUGGAUGGUCCGGUGAAGCCUCGGGAUUGUGGCGGUUGCCUUUAUUGGUGGCCGCCGCGAGGACUUGUCUAAACCUUAUCAUCUAGAGGAAGGUGAAGUCGUAACA